UAACCCAAAAUCGUUCAGAGUGGAUAAAGCGAGUUCAUAUAGCUGACCUCUGGAUAAAGGCUUAGUUCAGUUGAGUUGAGUUGAUUUAAAGUGAUUGUGUCAUCUGUGUUGGUCCCAUCCUAUGCAUGCAUGUGUAUGUGCUUUAGCUGUUUGAAAAAAGUUUUCCGAUGAAUAAAGAAGGAAAUCUGCUGCUGCAAGUUCGUUGUUUUUUGUCAAGUUUACUUGUGUGUUGGAUAAAAUAUUGGCGAUUGGCUUCAGUAUUAUUACUAUUUUGGCACUAUAAACAUACAUAAUAUAAUCUAAACCUUUAUUUUCUAUCUAAAUAAUAAUCCAAUUUGUUCCGGCUCUUUUUUUUUGUUGGAGAGAAUGAAGCUCAAGAGUCAAGAGUCAUGAGUCAAGUAAUUUUUCUCACUUUGGCUUUAGGGUUUUGAACAUGAUAUUGCAUUUGACAGACUAUAUCUAGUCUCCAUUUUGCCUGUCUUCUAGUUUAAUCUGUUGGCUAUUGUAUGUCUGUCUAUUGUGAUGUGGAAUUAAAUAUGACAGAGUUGUGGAAAGAUUUAUUUCUUGUGAAUCCGCUAACAAUAACAGUAUAGUUGGAAAAUCAUUGAUUGCUGGUUUGUUUGUCGAUUAAAUUCCAAAUGAUAGAACUGUGAUAGCUUGUUUUAUGCUAGCCAUUUCGAUUGUGUGAAUAGUUUUUCCUAUUGUAUUUUAUUUGUUUUUGGUAAUUUCUAGUAUAAAAGGAUACUUGUAAUGACUGUUCAUUUUUUCAUGAGCAAUGCUGUAUGUGUAUUUAGAUGAGAAGA
rnacentral:misc_RNA from 1 species